UUAAGGUGAAACCGCGAAAGGCUCAUUAAAUCAGUUAUGGUUCCUUAGGUCGUACCCACAAUUACUUGGAUAACUGUGGUAAUUCUAGAGCUAAUACAUGCAAACUGAGCUCCGACCGGAGACGGAAGGAGUGCUUUUAUUAGAUCAAAACCAAUCGGUGGCGGGUUCGCCCGUUAUCGUACAACUUGGUGACUCUGAAUAACUUUACGCUGAUCGCACGGUCAUCGCACCGGCGACGCAUCUUUCAAAUGUCUGCCUUAUCAACUGUCGAUGGUAGGUUCUGCGCCUACCAUGGUUGUAACGGGUAACGGGGAAUCAGGGUUCGAUUCCGGAGAGGGAGCCUGAGAAACGGCUACCACAUCCAAGGAAGGCAGCAGGCGCGCAAAUUACCCACUCCCGGCACGGGGAGGUAGUGACGAAAAAUAACGAUACGGGACUCAUCCGAGGCCCCGUAAUCGGAAUGAGUACACUCUAAACCCUUUAACGAGGAUCAAUUGGAGGGCAAGUCUGGUGCC
rnacentral:rRNA from 1 species